CCUACGGGUGGCAGCAGUCGAGAAUCAUUCACAAUGGGGGAAACCCUGAUGGUGCGACGCCGCGUGGGGGAAUGAAGGUCUUCGGAUUGUAAACCCCUGUCAUGUGGGAGCAAAUUAAAAAGAUAGUACCACAAGAGGAAGAGCCGGCUAACUCUGUGCCAGCAGCCGCGGUAAUACAGCGGUCUCAAGCGUUGUUCGGAAUCACUGGGCGUAAAGCGUGCGUAGGCUGUUUCGUAAGUCGUGUGUGAAAGGGGCGGGCUCAACCCGCGGACGGCACAUGAUACUGCGAGACUAGAGUAAUGGAGGGGGAACCGGAAUUCUCGGUGUAGCAGUGAAAUGCGUAGAUAUCGAGAGGAACACUCGUGGCGAAGGCGGGUUCCUGGACAUUAACUGACGCUGAGGCACGAAGGCCAGGGGAGCGAAAGGGAUUAGAUACCCUUGUAGUC
rnacentral:rRNA from 1 species